AACGAACGCUGGCGGCACGUUUUAAGCAUGCAAGUCGAAUGGCAGUGGGGGCAACCCCAUGAGAAUGGCGAACGGGUGAGUAACACGUAGGUGAUCUGCCUGACGGAUGGGGAUAGCUUGUGGAAACACAGGGUAAUACCGAAUGAGCUGACGAGACUUUGGCUUUGUUAGUAAAGGUGCUACGGCACCGCCGACAGAGGAGCCUGCGGCUGAUUAGCUAGUUGGUGGGGUAAAGGCCUACCAAGGCGACGAUCAGUAGCCGGCCUGAGAGGGUGUACGGCCAAACUGGAACUGAGACACGGUCCAGACUCCUACGGGAGGCAGCAGCUAAGAAUCUUCCGCAAUGGGCGAAAGCCUGACGGAGCGAUGCCGCGUGAUCGAUGAAGGUCGAGAGAUUGUAAAGAUCUUUUCUACAUGAGGAAUAAGUCUGGGAGGGAAUGCCUGGAUGAUGACGUUAGUGUUGGAAUAAGCCCCGGCUAAUUACGUGCCAGCCGCCGCGGUAA
rnacentral:rRNA from 1 species